rnacentral:rRNA from 1 species
GACGAACGCUGGCGGCGUGCUUAACACAUGCAAGUCGAACGGAAAGGCCUGCUUUCCCUUGUGGAUUGCGGGUACUCGAGUGGCGAACGGGUGAGUAACACGUGAGUGAUCUGCCCCCAACUUGGGUAUAAGCCUGGGAAACUGGGUCUAAUUCCCGAUAGGACUGCAGGGUGGUGCCUGUGGUGGAAAACGAUUUUCUAGUGGUUGGGGAUGAGCUCGCGGCCUAUCAGCUUGUUGGUGGGGUAAUGGCCUACCAAGGCGGCGACGGGUAGCCGGCCUGAGAGGGUGGACGGCGACAUUGGGACUGAGAUACGGCCCAGACUCCUACGGGAGGCAGCAGUGGGGAAUAUUGCACAAUGGGCGGAAGCCUGAUGCAGCGACGCCGCGUGGGGGAUGACGGCCUUCGGGUUGUAAACUCCUUUCGACCGAGAGGAAGCCACCUGGUUGGAAGGGUGGUGACGGUAGUGGUAGAAGAAGCACCGGCUAACUACGUG